rnacentral:rRNA from 170 species
UUAAAUUGAAGAGUUUGAUCAUGGCUCAGAUUGAACGCUGGCGGCAGGCCUAACACAUGCAAGUCGAACGGUAACAGGAAGCAGCUUGCUGCUUCGCUGACGAGUGGCGGACGGGUGAGUAAUGUCUGGGAAACUGCCUGAUGGAGGGGGAUAACUACUGGAAACGGUGGCUAAUACCGCAUAACGUCGCAAGACCAAAGAGGGGGACCUUCGGGCCUCUUGCCAUCAGAUGUGCCCAGAUGGGAUUAGCUUGUUGGUGAGGUAACGGCUCACCAAGGCGACGAUCCCUAGCUGGUCUGAGAGGAUGACCAGCCACACUGGAACUGAGACACGGUCCAGACUCCUACGGGAGGCAGCAGUGGGGAAUAUUGCACAAUGGGCGCAAGCCUGAUGCAGCCAUGCCGCGUGUAUGAAGAAGGCCUUCGGGUUGUAAAGUACUUUCAGCGGGGAGGAAGGUGUUGUGGUUAAUAACCGCAGCAAUUGACGUUACCCGCAGAAGAAGCACCGGCUAACUCCGUGCCAGCAGCCGCGGUAAUACGGAGGGUGCAAGCGUUAAUCGGAAUUACUGGGCGUAAAGCGCACGCAGGCGGUCUGUCAAGUCGGAUGUGAAAUCCCCGGGCUCAACCUGGGAACUGCAUUCGAAACUGGCAGGCUUGAGUCUUGUAGAGGGGGGUAGAAUUCCAGGUGUAGCGGUGAAAUGCGUAGAGAUCUGGAGGAAUACCGGUGGCGAAGGCGGCCCCCUGGACAAAGACUGACGCUCAGGUGCGAAAGCGUGGGGAGCAAACAGGAUUAGAUACCCUGGUAGUCCACGCCGUAAACGAUGUCUACUUGGAGGUUGUGCCCUUGAGGCGUGGCUUCCGGAGCUAACGCGUUAAGUAGACCGCCUGGGGAGUACGGCCGCAAGGUUAAAACUCAAAUGAAUUGACGGGGGCCCGCACAAGCGGUGGAGCAUGUGGUUUAAUUCGAUGCAACGCGAAGAACCUUACCUGGUCUUGACAUCCACAGAAGAAUCCAGAGAUGGAUUUGUGCCUUCGGGAACUGUGAGACAGGUGCUGCAUGGCUGUCGUCAGCUCGUGUUGUGAAAUGUUGGGUUAAGUCCCGCAACGAGCGCAACCCUUAUCCUUUGUUGCCAGCGGUUAGGCCGGGAACUCAAAGGAGACUGCCAGUGAUAAACUGGAGGAAGGUGGGGAUGACGUCAAGUCAUCAUGGCCCUUACGACCAGGGCUACACACGUGCUACAAUGGCGCAUACAAAGAGAAGCGACCUCGCGAGAGCAAGCGGACCUCAUAAAGUGCGUCGUAGUCCGGAUUGGAGUCUGCAACUCGACUCCAUGAAGUCGGAAUCGCUAGUAAUCGUGGAUCAGAAUGCCACGGUGAAUACGUUCCCGGGCCUUGUACACACCGCCCGUCACACCAUGGGAGUGGGUUGCAAAAGAAGUAGGUAGCUUAACCUUCGGGAGGGCGCUUACCACUUUGUGAUUCAUGACUGGGGUGAAGUCGUAACAAGGUAACCGUAGGGGAACCUGCGGUUGGAUCACCUCCUUACCUUAAAGAAGC